UUCCUGACCUGGCGGGAUCCCAGGCUUUGGGACAGGGCAGGUGACCUUUUCAAGGUGGCAUUUCCAGCCUUCCCUGUCCCCUGGAAUUCAGGCCAGGCCUGCCAACAACAACCAGGUCAGUAGGAAAGUCUCCAGUUUCAGAGAAGAUAUUCAGACGCUUGCCGCAGAAAGAGAACACAUCUUUCCCCGUUGCUUCGUUGACUUCAUUCCAUCCUCGCAGAAACCGUAUGAGGCACGUGCCAGUUUCCUCAUCUCUGAAAUGUGGAUGACGAGGCCCAGCGAAGAACUGCCCCCGAGACACAUCUGUGCUGAAGGCCUGGGACCAGCAUUUCUCUGAGGGACUGUCCAAAGGAGAGCAGAGAACACUGUCUUGGAUGGGUCCAUCUUGGAGACUCUGCAGCAUAUUAGCACCAUAAGGGCUCUGAGAAGACCUUCAGUAGUGGAAAAUUUCUCCAGCCUGUAAGCUCGCAGACCUCCUUUGGGCAGAGCACAUGUCAGCAUCCUGUGGAACAGUCUACGGCAUUCUCUGGGUGGUUGCCAGGCCAGGAGGACCCAGACAGGUUGAGUGCCGGGUACCAAACCCGUAGCCACCGGCUCCCCAGGUCAGCAGCAGGUCAUCUUCGCCCUUGACCUCAGUCCACCUUGAGGGACGAUCUUUGAGGCUGGAGUUAUAGUCAUCAACUCCCAUUCCUCCAGCUGUUCUUUGGUUCCCAGGUGCCUGAAAGUCCCUAAAAGUGCUGCUUGAGCCAAAAUUCAGAGGACGUGCUAAACCAGGUUAAUGUUAGGGCCCAUGGCAAUGAGCAGGAGUCCUCCCUACUGGGUUGGUUGGAUAAAUGAGUUAAUUUUGUUCAAGCUCCAAGGGUCUUGGGGACUUCGGUGCUGAGGGUGUACAGAUGUGUUGCAGGGAGGGGACCCAGCAUGGAAUGAGCUUUAGGGUCUGCGGGGACCCAAGGAAAGAGAGCUGCAUACUCAACACUGCAAUUAAUGGAGCUAAUAAGGGUCCGAGGGUCAGUGCCAGCCAGGGUGCUUGGCAGGUGGGGCGGACAUCCCUUGGAAAACUCUACAUCGGCAUCUUUGUGAGUUGGAGUGGAGGGCGUUUGGGGGGGGGGGUGCCCCAUGGCAAGGCUGGGCAGGGCAGUCCAGGGCAGCAGAGCAGGGAGAGGUGUCCUUCUGAGUGGCCCAAGCACAGGCAGGGACAAGAGCAGGGGUCUUGAAGCAGCCAGCAUUGGGUGUGAACCUCCGCUGAGCCCUGAAUGAGCUGUGUGUCAUUGGGCAGCUUCCCUUGCCUCUCUGAGCCUCAGUUACCUCAUAUGCAAAUGGACACAACAGUGACCGCCCCCCAACUCAGAGUAAUGAAUGGGUUAACUUGGGUUAAGUGCCUAGAAAUAUCUAGCACGUAAAAUGUACUCCAUGAAUGCUACUUCUCUCCUCUCCUUUUAGAAAAGCUCAGAGACUGGCAGAAGUUUUUUUCUUUUUUUUUUUUUUAACUUUUAAUUGAACUGUAACAUACACACAGAAAAGUGCAUAACUCUUUUGUUUGCUUUUUAAUUUAAAAUUUAUUUCAACUCCUC